GGUGUCCAUGUGUCACAUGAUAUCUUCAACGUUGUUAUUAGCUGCCACGGGUGUCCAUGUGUCACAUGAUAUCUUCAAAGUUGUUAUUAGCUGCCACGGACUUACUGACUGCUUUUGGUUUUACGCCGCUUUUAG